rnacentral:lncRNA from 1 species
GGUUUUUGCAUAGAUAUAUUAUUAUAUCAAUGAGAUAUUUCAAGUUUUCUGUUGUUUUUGAGCAAAAAUCUUAAUAUUUCCCUCGAACAUUACUUGUUUUACAACGCGGAGCGAGGGUGCGGGUUUGCUUCGCUUGUGGAUGCAGCAUUUCACUACAAAGAAAGAUUAAUUCUUUCAGGUAAGAUUCACGAAACUUUUUUUAUAACUUUCUAGACGGCUAGAGUCACUAUAGACCUUCAUAUUAUGUCAAAAACUCAUCAUCCUAAUAUAUGCUGCAAAUAUUUCAAUAGGGGACAUAAAAUAUUGUUAACAUUAUGUUGUUUUGUGUCAGCACUGGCCUUUGUGGUUUGCCAGUUUUUAAUUUAUACUAAAAAUUGUGGUUGUUUACUUGUUUACAUGUUCAUAUACAGAGGUUCAUAUAUUUUAAACGAAUAUAUAUGGUGUGAAAUUUAUAUACUUGCCCAUCACAGUGCAGAAUUAGUAUAUAUAGAUAAGCACAAGACCAGAGAGAGUUGAGCCAUAGAGGAGGCCCACCUACAUGUGACAAUGCAUGUGCCCUGUCCUGAUGAGCCCUAAAGACUGUAUUAUUUUACUCUGUCUAAUGCCAAACAAUUUUAAGGGGAUUGAGAUUGCUCCCUGCUGCCACGCAGUGAGUUAAUUACACUAUUUGCAAAUGAGCAGCCCCUGAGAUAUACAGGGUGUCCCCAAAAAACCCGGAAACUAUAGAAAUCACUUAUUGUUAAAUUUGAAUGCCCUACCAAACAGCUGGACGUAAUGAUGCAUAAAAUAUUGACAAGGUGCAUGUAUUAGAAUUUAGUUAGGAAUAUCUCCUAGUAAAGUGCGCGAUUUUCUGCUCCUGGGAAUUAAAAACAGCUUCUUAAACAGUUUCUUUAUGCAUAAAAUUUACUUCUGUCAAUCAUUUAUGCACUCGUGGGAACCAACAGAGCGCUAAGGCAUUCAAAUUCUAACAAUUAAAUUGUUAUUGGUGAUUUCAAUAGUUUCCGUUUUUUUUGGGACACCCUGUAUAGUCAGCCCAUUAAGCUGCAAUUAAUCCUGGCUACUUUCUUAUUUCACUCAAUCUGUGAGAUUAAAUCCAGAUGUUUUACUCAAUACUCAUCAAGGGAAGAGUCUUAAAAAUAGAUAUCAUUUUGCCAUUGUCUGUUCAGAACUAUAUAAAACUAUAUAGUUUUACAUGUACAGUAUAUGUCAUAGUUACAUGGCAAGAACAAAAAUGUUGCCCACAAGCUGCCGGGACUUAAGUGAGUCAAUGAUACACUAAUCAUUUAGAUCAUGAGGUAAAUUCGGCAUGCCACAACAUGUCUAACAAGGGCAGAUUUUUAUUUAUUUCACCACUCAGUGAACUUUGGCAUGGAUUAGGUGUUUGAGUUGUUGGCCUUUCACACAAAAUAGGAGGGUUGAGGCAGAUUUUGGUGGGGUUGAACACUUUAUUAGAGGGGUUUAACCCCCCCCCCCAAGUAAACCCGCCCCUAAUUUCUAACAUUGGGAGUAGUGAUGUCCGAUUGGCCAUGGCACGGCCUGUGAGAAAUUAUGAUGAAAUUUGCUCAUAAUAGUUAAGUUUGACAUAUUUUAGCAGUUAGUCAGGAAUGUGAUUGCAUUCAGCUGAAACAUGACACUUAAUGUUGAAGCUUGGAUCAAUGGUCUUGGUAAAAACAGAUCAUGUAAUUGCACUCUCCCCUUGACUACUAAAAUUGUCUGUUAAAAUAAUACAGUGAGGCAUAUCAAGAGACAUUGCCACUUGUGAAGGGUUAACAUAUGUGUAUAUGAUAUUUUUAUGAUGUAAAGAUGUAUAAUGUAUCAUGAUAAAAAUGUCAUCUUUUAUUUUGCAGAAAUUAUAUGUUUAAUAUACACAAGAGAUGGCACUGAGGCAUCAACAUGCAAUACCAUGCAUAACAACAUAUAUAAUUAUAUGAUUAUGA